GUACUUACUUUAAUAGCACAUGCACUAAAACUGGAAUGAAACAGAGAGAUUAGCAUGGUCCCUGAGCAAGGAUGACAUGCAAAUUUGGAAAACAUUCCACCGCUUA